AAGAACAGUGUGUACAAAACGAGGAAAUGUCCUUCGUUAUUCUGUAGAUCCCUGUUUUCCCACGCUUCAGACUCACAGCGUCUCUCACUGAACCCGGAGCUCACCAUUUCUCACCUGUCGCUCACCAUAGCUACAGUGCCUGGCCAGCCAGCUCCAGGGAUCUUCCCGCCUUUGCUUCCCCACUACUAGGAUUAUAGCUCACACUGUCAUGCUCAGAUUUUUACAUGGGUCCUGGGGCUCCCAACUCAAGUGCACAGGCCUGUAGGGGAAGCAUUGUACCAACUGCCUCAUCCCCUCAGCCCUGCUGAUCCCAUUCAUGGAGUCUGCUUCAUAAACUGUGCUCAUCUUGG
rnacentral:lncRNA from 1 species